AACGAACGCUGGCGGCAUGCCUAACACAUGCAAGUCGAACGAGACCUUCGGGUCUAGUGGCGCACGGGUGCGUAACGCGUGGGAACCUGCCCUUAGGUUCGGAAUAACUCCCAGAAAGGGGUGCUAAUACCGGAUAAUGUCUUCGGACCAAAGAUUUAUCGCCUUUGGAUGGGCCCGCGUUGGAUUAGCUAGUUGGUAGGGUAAAAGCCUACCAAGGCGACGAUCCAUAGCUGGUCUGAGAGGAUGAUCAGCCACACUGGGACUGAGACACGGCCCAGACUCCUACGGGAGGCAGCAGUGGGGAAUAUUGGACAAUGGGCGAAAGCCUGAUCCAGCAAUGCCGCGUGAGUGAUGAAGGCCUUAGGGUUGUAAAGCUCUUUUACCCGGGAUGAUAAUGACAGUACCGGGAGAAUAAGCGCCGGCUAACUCCGUG
rnacentral:rRNA from 1 species